rnacentral:rRNA from 1 species
UACGGAGGGAGCUAGCGUUGUUCGGAAUUAUUGGGCGUAAAGAGCUCGUAGGCGGUUUGUUGCGUCGGCCGUGAAAACCUGCAGCUUAACUGUGGGCCUGCGGUCGAUACGGGCAGACUUGAGUUCGGUAGGGGAGACUGGAAUUCCUGGUGUAGCGGUGAAAUGCGCAGAUAUCAGGAGGAACACCGGUGGCGAAGGCGGGUCUCUGGGCCGAUACUGACACUGAAGCACGAAAGCGUGGGGAGCAAACAGG